UUCUGUCCAUAUACUGUACUGACUCGUUUAUGAUGUAAUUAACACAUGAUGCGCAGAAGGAGAAGAUGACUAACAUUUAACUGCAUUUUAUUAAAGAAUUUCUCUUUCAUAUAAAAUAGAAUGUGUUAUAUAAAAUCUGUAUUGAAUCAUGUGACAAAUAAUUAGACGACCAUUAAAUUGAUCACGACAAAGAAGUGUUAUAAGUACCUAUAAUAAUAUUAUGUGUGCGUAUCUGCUCUACCGGCGUUGACAUUUCAUGUCUUACAAUUUAAUUAUUUUUUAUUCUAGUACCGAAGUCAUGAUAAAUCGGAAAAGGAAUAAAAAAUCAUUAAAUGUAGGGACUAGUCAUUCUUGUAACAAUAAGUUGGACAAGAUAGUGGGAGCUGCAGCUAUAGGGCACUGCCUGGGAAGGUUUAGCAUUGACUAAUAUUUUGUACCUACGUUCUUAUUAGUCUUUGCUAAACUUCUCAGCCAGUGUCAUAGCACCUUCUCCAGGCAGCCAUUCCAGGGUUUGAUCGCGUAAGUGUGUUUAAUACAUUAUUUAACUUUACCUAAUACCAUAAUAAAGAUUGGCGUGAUAAUUAUAUAAAAGCUUAUUAAACGUCGUCUCUCAAUGUUAUUAUUGUUAAGCCAAAUGUUAAUUUUAGAACGAGCUAACAGUGUUCACUCGUCAUGUUUACUGACUAGGUACUCAACGUAGCCAGCUUGGAGCUGCGUGCGACUGACAGCAAAGACUCCGGCAGCCAGCACCAGUAACAACAGUGAGCUGCAGCGGAACACACCACACAGUUGUUGAGGUAAAAACAACAUCUGCCUACCUACUUGUGCUGCUUCUUCGGGAAAUUACUCUUCUGAAUCUUAAAUAGAGCUUAAAUAAUCAAUUAUUUAUUUAUCUUAUUUUUAAGUAUUUUUUUUUUUAACAUAACAUUACUGUUUUGUAUAUUAACUAUAGUGAGAUGUAUAAAAUUACCAAUAGUUAUUUACAAAACUGUGUCGAUCCAUUGUUACAUAAUGGUGUGAAAUUGUAUU